rnacentral:rRNA from 1 species
GAAAGUAAGUAAGGGCGUAUGGUGGAUGCCUAGGCUCACAGAGGCGAUGAAGGACGUGAUAAGCUGCGAUAAGCUUCGGGUAGGUGCAAAUAACCUUUGAUCCGGAGAUUUCCGAAUGGGACAACCUGUUUGUUUGAAGAACAAACACUUACGUUAAAUCGUAAGGGCUAACCCAGGGAACUGAAACAUCUUAGUACCUGGAGGAAGAGAAAAUAAAUAAUGAUUCCCUUAGUAGUGGCGAGCGAACGGGGAAGAGCCCAAACCGUGACUGUGGCAACGCAGCUGCGGGGUAGUAGGACCGCGAUAUUGUAUGCAUGCAGCGAGCAGAAUCCUCUGGAAAGAGGAACCAUAGCGGGUGAAAGUCCCUUAUGCGAAUCUAAUUGCGGCAUAGCGGUAUCCUGAGUAGCGCGGAGCACGAGUAAUUCUGCGUGAAUCAGCCGGGACCAUCCGGUAAGGCUAAAUACUCCUGUGAGACCGAUAGUGAACCAGUACCGUGAGGGAAAGGUGAAAAGCACUUCGAUAAGAAGAGUGAAAUAGUUCCUGAAACCAUACGCCUACAAGCGGUCGGAGCUGCUUUAUGCAGUGACGGCGUGCCUUUUGCAUAAUGAACCUACGAGUUACCAUCUCUGGCAAGGUUAAGAGUAAAGAUACUCCCAGCCGUAGUGAAAGCGAGCCUGAACAGGGCGUUUAAGUCAGAGGGGGUAGACGCGAAACCAAGUGAUCUACACUUGACCAGGUUGAAGUUCCGGUAACACGGAAUGGAGGACCGCACCAAUAAGCGUUGAAAAGCUUCUGGAUGAGUUGAGUGUAGGAGUGAAAGGCCAAUCAAACUUGGAGAUAGCUCGUACUCCCCGAAAGGCAUUUAGGUGCCGCGUGCAUCGAUCUCCAUAAGAGGUAGAGCGACCGAUAGGUCAAGAGGGCUUCACCGCCUAUCGAGACCUGACGAACUCCGAAUGCUUAUGGACUGCAGUCGUGCAGUAAGGGGGCGGGUGCUAAGGUCCGUCCCCGAGAGGAGAAGAAUCCAGACCGUCGUCUAAGGUCCCGGAAUUCUGCCUGAGUUAGUCUAACGAAGUCUGGUCCCCGUGACAGCUAGGAUGUUGGCUUGGAAGCAGCCAUUCAUUCAAAGAGUGCGUAACAGCUCACUAGUCGAGGGUCCGGGCAUGGAUAAUAAUCGGGUAUAAGGCAGAUACCGAAGGCGCGGGAUAGUAAUAAUAAAAGUAUCGGUAGGGGAGCAUUCCAUGUGCGUAGAAUGGUGCAGAUAACUAAUCCUGGAGCGCAUGGAAAAGCAAAUGUAGGUAUAAGUAACGAUAAAAGGGGUGAGAUUCCCCUUCGCCGUAAGUCUAAGGUUUCCCGGGCAAUGCCAAUCAGCCCGGGGUAAGUCGGGUCCUAAGUCUCAGCCGAAUGGUGAGGGCGAUGGCAGAAACGGUUAAUAUUCCGUUACUACCUUUAGGAGCGAUGUGGAGACGUAGUAGUGACACUGCCGCGGGGUGACGGAUAUCCCCGUUAAAGAGUGUAGGCGUAGAUCGGAGCAGGCAAAUCCACUCCGAGAGCCGACCUUGAAAGUACUGCAGCUUCUUCGGGAGCAGCAGAUAGUGCAGGUAAUCAGACUUCCAAGAAAAUCCGCUAAGCAUAUUCUAAAGGUACCCGUACCGCAAUCCGACACAGGUAGACGGGUAGAACAUACUAAGGCGUUGAGAGAUUCAUGGUUAAGGAACUAGGCAAAUUGACCCCGUAACUUCGGGAUAAGGGGUCCUCAUAGUAAUAUGAGGCGCAGAGAAUAGGUCCAGGCAACUGUUUAACAAAAACACAGGGCUGUGCAAACUCGAAAGAUGACGUAUACAGCCUGACACCUGCCCGGUGCUGGAAGGUUAAGAGGAGAUGUCACUAGCAAUAGGAAGCAUUGAAUUGAAGCCCCAGUAAACGGCGGCCGUAACUAUAACGGUCCUAAGGUAGCGAAAUUCCUUGUCGGGU